GGAAGCUCUGAAGCUACCUGGAUGGGACAUAUGUCCUUCAAGGUCAUGUUCACGAUCACUAAAGCAGCUCGGGAGCACCUCUUCUUUGGAAAAUCUAGUUGAGAUGAGCCUUCAAUGUAUGGUCAAUGUGGUUGCAAUGGUUUCCAAUCUUGAGAAAGUGCAAGCAUGAGAUGAUUUGCAUAAAUACACAUCAUGUGGGAAUAAAGCUCAUGAGAUGGCAUUACA
rnacentral:misc_RNA from 1 species